CUUCAAGAAACCACUCGUUGUUACCAGAAGAAACAUCUCCAUCAGUCUGGACCUGUCCUGUUUAGUGGAUGAACCAAACCACACUGAGAUGGAUGAAGACAGGACAGACUGAAUGAUGUAGAAGAUGACCAGGAGCUACUGGGGAAGGUUGGACUUCUUGAGUUGCCUCAGGAAGUUCAGUCUCUGAUGGGCCUUCUUCGUCUGUGUGAGACAGUGAUCGAGGGUCACAUCAUUCAAACUUACAGUUGGGCCCAGAAAUAUUUGUACAUUGAUACAAUCUUCAUGGUUUGGGCUCUGCAUGCCACCACAUUAGAUUUGAAAUGAAACAACUACAACAGAAUUGAAGUGCAAACUUUAAGGUUUAAAUUCAAGGGGUUGAACAAAAACAAUAAACCAAACCCUAAGUAAAAUGUUACUUUUCAAUAAUUUGUUGAGAAUCCUUUGCAGACAAUGACUGCCUGAAGUCUGGAACCCAUGGAUAUCACCAAGCGUUGGGUUUCCUCCUCUAUGAUGCUUUGCCAGGCCUUUACUGCAGCUGUCUUCAGUUGUUGCUUGUUUGUGGGACUUUCUGCCUCACGUUUUGUCUUGAGCAAGUGAAAUGCAUAUUUGAUUGGGUUGAGAUCUGGUGAUUGACUCGGGUUUUAAAGAAUAUUCCUCUUUGCUUUAAAAAACUCCUGGGUUGCUUUUGCAGUAUGUUUUGGAUCAUUGUCCAUCCGUCCAAUCAACUUCGCUGCAUUUGGCUGAAUCUGAGCAGAAAGUACAUCCUUAUAUACUUCAGAAUUCAUCCAGUUGCUCCGGUCUUUUGUCACAUCAUCAAUAAACAUACGUGACCCAGUACCAUUUGAAGCCAUGCAUGCCCAUGCCAUCACACUGCCUCCACCAUGUUUUACAGAAGAUGUGCUGUGCUUUGGGUCUGAUGUUCCUAUUCUUCUCCAAACUUUCUUCUCACAUCAUUCUGGUACAGGUUGAUCUUAGCCUCAUCUGUCCAAAGAAUGCUGUUCCAGAACCGGGCUGGCUUCUUCAGGUGUUUUCUGGUCAAUUCUGGCCUUUCUAUUUUUGAGGCUGGUUAAUGGUUUGCACCUUGUGGUGAAGCCUUUGUAUUUACUCUCAUGAAGUCCUCUCUUUAUGGUAGACGUAGAUACGGAUACAUCUACUUCCAGGAGAGUGUUCUUCACCUGAGUGGAUGAUGAAGGAGUUUUUCUUCACCAUGCAUUCUACGAUCAUCCACCACUGUAGCCUUCAGUGGACGUCCGGGUCUUUUUGAGUUCCCAGCUCACCAGUGCACUCUUUGUUUCUCAGAAUGUACCAAACUGUUGAUCUGGUCGCUCCAAACAUUUCUACUUUCUCUCUGAUGGAGUUUUUCUUGUUUUCAACCUCAGGAUGGUCUGUUUCACUUCCACUGAAAGCUCCUUUGACUGCAUGUUGUGUGUUCACAGCAACAGCUUCCAAAUGCAAACGCUGCACCUGAAAUCAACUCCAGACAUUUUAACUGCUUAAUUGAUAGCAGGUUAACAAGGGAAGAGCCCAUGCAGCCUUGUUAUUUAUUUAGUUAUUUAUUUUUGCAGCCUUCUGAGUCAAUUUGUCCAUUAAUUUUGGUCCCUUGAAAAAGAGGCGGCUACGUAUUAAAGAGCUGUAAUUCCUAAACUCUUGCUCCAAUUUGGAUGUGAAUACUAUCAAAAUACAGCCGAGAGUCUGAACUUUAAGCCCAUAUUGAUUCUAUAAUUGCAUCCAGAAUAUGUUUUUGUAAACAGCUAAAAUAACAAAACUCGUGUCACUGUCCAAAUAUGUCUGGGCCUAACUCUGUACAUUUUUCACAGUAGCCAAUCAGGUAGCGCAGCUUUAAUAUAAAAAUGUAUUCAGAGACACAGACAGAUAUUAUUUAAUGAAUGAAGACAAGACAAGAAAUUUAAAACUCACCCACUGCUCUCUAAUCAAGUUCCUAGAAAUGAAUGACUCAUUAUAAAUGUCUUAAAUAAAAAAUAACAUUUUAUAAAAUCA